AGAAAUUUUAUUUUGGCCAGGAGCUGAAGUUGGUUGUUUAGUAGUAGUAGUUUGAGUAGUGACCGAAGUAGUAGUCUGGUGUGUGGGUGCAGCUGAAGUUUCAGAAGUGUCAGGUGCAAGAGUAGUUGGGGAAGAAUUAGGUGUGGGUGGGGCAGCUGUGGUCUCUGGUGGAGCUGAGGCGGAUGAUGGGUCUAGGGUAGUUGCAGAAGGUGUGGGUGGGGCAGCUGUGGUGUCUUGUGGAGCUGGGGAAUUCACUGGUGCUAAUGUAGCUACAGAAGAGCUUGUGUUAACAUUUUCUCUUGAAGAUAUGGUGGUGGCAUUCUGGGGAAGAAAAGUCACAUUUGGAAGGGUAGUAAUUUUGGUGGCUGGUGAGGAUUUGGGAAUUUGGGGGGGUUAUUAGGUGAAGGUGGAAGCUUAGGCCUACAGCGUUUGUGCAGACAUUUAUAGGACUUUCUAAUGAACGGCUUCUGGUGAGCUAGCAGUCCAGGAU
rnacentral:lncRNA from 1 species